rnacentral:lncRNA from 7 species
GGAGGGUGCACUUUGGAUUCGCUCGAUCGGUCAUCAUCGGACUGUGCAAGCACGAGAGGGGUAUACAGGCAUACAGCGGAUUCAUAAACCGUCAGGUACGCGCGCAUACAGCAUACCUCCAUGCACGGCUGACGGCCCUUCCCGCUUCCCCUCGGCCGGUGGUUCCAAGUUUUGAUUUGGUUAGAUCACUGCGUAUUCCUCUUCUGUGGAUUGUGUCGCCUCUUCGAAUUCCCCGUGUUUAGGGUACCUCAUUCGUCCAGAUCUGGUUGCCUCGUUUUACUUAUCGGCUGCUGAUUCCUGCCUAGUAGGCGGUACCGCGCGCGCCAGUGGUGUGUGCAACUCUGUAUUUCUUUCCUAUUUGGCUUGUUGUGAUGUCGCUCCUGUUGUUGAGGUCGGUUGCAUCACUAUGGUCGUUGGGACUUUGCGGUAUAUCUACGUGCUGGGGCUACGUGGGGAUAGUUCAGUUUGGCUUUGAUCUUUCUGUAUCAGCCUAUUAUAAUGUUAGGGUGUAAUGUCAGAUUAGGAUGCAGAGGGGGUACAAAGCAUACAUAUCCAAAUAGUAAAUAGUGAGUGAAUUCAUAUAGGAGUACACAUGUGGUCUGCAAAAAUAUCCAAAUUUUCCUAACUAACAUGGACACAGGACACAUGAUUUCUAAAAGAAUUCUGGCCGUAUAGAGUAAGGCUCAUACAUCUUCAUAUAAGCAUCUUCCACAUUUGCAAACCAAAAUUUGUAAAAUCCUUUCUUUUUUUUUUGAAAGGAAGGGGCAAAAGACUUGCCACUCCGAUAUAUAUUAGAUUAGAGAGCAAAGAAAUGGAAGAUACAAAACCAAAGAACCAGAGGGGAGAGGAU